GCCCGAGUGGCGGAAUUGGCAGACGCGUCAGGUUGAGGGCCUGAUGGGCCUUAUGGCCCUUGCUGGUUCAAAUCCAGUCUCGGGCA
rnacentral:tRNA from 1 species